CCUACGGGCGGCUGCAGUGGGGAAUAUUGGACAAUGGGGGAAACCCUGAUCCAGCAAUGCCGCGUGAGUGAAGAAGGCCUUAGGGUUGUAAAGCUCUUUCGCCCGUGACGAUGAUGACGGUAACGGGAGAAGAAGCCCCGGCUAAUUCCGUGCCAGCAGCCGCGGUAAUACGGAAGGGGCUAGCGUUGUUCGGAUUUACUGGGCGUAAAGCGCAUGUAGGCGGCGGAUCAAGUGGGGCGUGAAAGGCCUGGGCUCAACCUGGGAACUGCGCUUCAGACUGGUUCGCUCGAGUUCGGGAGAGGGUGGUGGAAUUCCCAGUGUAGAGGUGAAAUUCGUAGAUAUUGGGAGGAACACCGGUGGCGAAGGCGGCCACCUGGCCCGAGACUGACGCUCAAGUGCGAAAGCGUGGGGAGCAAACAGGAUUAGAUACCCUAGUAGUC
rnacentral:rRNA from 1 species